GACGAACGCUGGCGGCGUGCUUAACACAUGCAAGUCGAACGGAAAGGCCCUGCUUUUGUGGGGUGCUCGAGUGGCGAACGGGUGAGUAACACGUGAGUAACCUGCCCUUGACUUUGGGAUAACUUCAGGAAACUGGGGCUAAUACCGGAUAGGAGCUCCUGCUGCAUGGUGGGGGUUGGAAAGUUUCGGCGGUUGGGGAUGGACUCGCGGCUUAUCGGCUUGUUGGUGGGGUAGUGGCUUACCAAGGCUUUGACGGGUAGCCGGCCUGAGAGGGUGACCGGCCACAUUGGGACUGAGAUACGGCCCAGACUCCUACGGGAGGCAACAGUGGGGAAUAUUGCACAAUGGGCGGAAGCCUGAUGCAGCAACGCCGCGUGCGGGAUGACGGCCUUCGGGUUGUAAACCGCUUUCGCCUGUGACGAAGCGUGAGUGACGGUAAUGGGUAAAGAAGCACCGGCUAACUACGU
rnacentral:rRNA from 1 species